AUGCAGCUGUUGGUCAAAGGGCUUUUGGUCUUUGUGGCUAGGGAGCCAAAGGCAGCUUUGGCAAAGGCCCCCAGAGAAUUCUCCUGCUUUCUUUUCUCCCCCCUUCUUUCUCCCCCUUUUUCUUCCCCCCUUUUCCUUCCCCCUUUUCUUCCCUCUUUUCUUAGCUCCUCCUUUCCACCCCCUUUUUCUCCCCGUCUUUGCUCUGCCUUCCUUUUCUACCCCUUUUAUUUCUCCCAUUUCUGUCCCCCUUUUUUCUGUUCCUUUCCCUUCUUUCCUUCACGUUUUUCUUCCUCCUUCUUUCUCCCCCUUUCUUCUCCCUUUGGGCUUUCUCCUCCUUUUCUUGCCCCCUUUUUCCUCCUCGUUUUUCCUCUCCCCUUUCCUCUUCCCUUUUAUCUCCCUCUUUUUCCUCCUCAGGCUUUCUCCCCCUUUUUUCUCUCCCCUGUUUUCCUCCUGUUUUUUCUUCCCCAUUUUUUCUCUUCCCCCUUUUUUCUCUGGCUGUCUCCCCCCUUUUCUCCCAUUUUAGCUUCCCCUCUUUUCUUCCCUCUUUUCUUAGCUCCCCUUUCCCACCCCUUUUUUCUCCUCAUUUUUGUCUCUGCCUUUCUUUUCUCUCCCUUUUAUUUCUUCUCCUUCCCCCCUGCCUUUUUGCUAUUUCCCCCUCCUUUCUCCCCAUUUUUCUUCCCCCUUUUUUCUCCUCUUUUCUUCUCCCUUUGGUUUUUCUCCCUGUUUCACUAUUUUCUCCCCUUUUUUUCCUACCACCUAUUUUCUCAUGCUUUCUUACCUCCCCCUUCUUCUCCCUUCUUCUUCUCUCUCCAUUUUUCCCUCGCUUUAUCUCCCUCCUUUUUUCUCCCCUUUCUUCCUCCUCUUCUUGUUCCCCUCUUUCCCAUUUCCACCCUCCUUUUUUAUUCCCCAUUUUCUUCUCUCUUUCUUAUUUCCCCUUCCCCUCAUUUUUUUCUCCCUUUUCUCACUCUUUUUCUCCCCCUUUCUUCUUCCUCCCUUUUCUCCCUCUCCCUUUCCUCCCCUUUUCUAGCACCCCUUCAUUUGGCCGCUUUUUUCACCCUUUUGCUCCCCUUUCUUUCCCCCCCCCCCUUUUUUCUCCCUCUUCCUUUUUUCUCCCUCUUCCUUUUCUCCCUC
rnacentral:lncRNA from 1 species